GGAAGGUCCCCCACAUUGGAACUGAGACACGGUCCAAACUCCUACGGGAGGCAGCAGUGAGGAAUAUUGGUCAAUGGACGAGAGUCUGAACCAGCCAAGUAGCGUGAAGGAUGAAGGUCCUACGGAUUGUAAACUUCUUUUAUAAGGGAAUAAACCCUCCCACGUGUGGGAGCUUGUAUGUACCUUAUGAAUAAGCAUCGGCUAACUCCGUGCCAGCAGCCGCGGUAAUACGGAGGAUGCGAGCGUUAUCCGGAUUUAUUGGGUUUAAAGGGAGCGCAGACGGGUCGUUAAGUCAGCUGUGAAAGUUUGGGGCUCAACCUUAAAAUUGCAGUUGAUACUGGCGUCCUUGAGUGCGGUUGAGGUGUGCGGAAUUCGUGGUGUAGCGGUGAAAUGCUUAGAUAUCACGAAGAACUCCGAUUGCGAAGGCAGCACACUAAUCCGUAACUGACGUUCAUGCUCGAAAGUGUGGGUAUCAAACAGGAUUAGAUACCCUGGUAGUCCACACGGUAAACGAUGGAUACUCGCUGUUGGCGAUAUACUGUCAGCGGCUUAGCGAAAGCGUUAAGUAUCCCACCUGGGGAGUACGCCGGCAACGGUGAAACUCAAAGGAAUUGACGGGGGCCCGCACAAGCGGAGGAACAUGUGGUUUAAUUCGAUGAUACGCGAGGAACCUUACCCGGGCUUAAAUUGCAAAGGAAUAAUCUGGAAACAGGUUAGUCUUCGGACCUUUGUGAAGGUGCUGCAUGGUUGUCGUCAGCUCGUGCCGUGAGGUGUCGGCUUAAGUGCCAUAACGAGCGCAACCCUCGCCGCCAGUUACUAACAGUUAAAGCUGAGGACUCUGGCGGGACUGCCAUCGUAAGAUGUGAGGAAGGUGGGGAUGACGUCAAAUCAGCACGGCCCUUACGUCCGGGGCUACACACGUGUUACAAUGGGGGGUACAGAGGGCCGCUACCACGCGAGUGGAUGCCAAUCCCAAAAACCUCUCUCAGUUCGGACUGGAGUCUGCAACCCGACUCCACGAAGCUGGAUUCGCUAGUAAUCGCGCAUCAGCCACGGCGCGGUGAAUACGUUCCCGGGCCUUGUACACACCGCCCGUCAAGCCAUG
rnacentral:rRNA from 1 species